rnacentral:rRNA from 1 species
GACGUAGGGCGCGAGCGUUGUCCGGAUUUAUUGGGCGUAAAGAGCUCGUAGGCGGCUCGUUGCGUCAGCUGUGAAAACCCGCAGCUCAACUGUGGGCUUGCAGCUGAUACGGGCAGGCUUGAGUUCGGUAGGGGAGACUGGAAUUCCUGGUGUAGCGGUGAAAUGCGCAGAUAUCAGGAAGAACACCCGUGGCGAAGGCGGCUCUCUGGGACGGUACUGACGCUGAGACGCGAAAGCGUGGGGAGCGAACAGG